AGAGUUUGAUCAUGGCUCAGAUUGAACGCUGGCGGCAGGCCUAACACAUGCAAGUCGAACGGUAACAGGAAGCAGCUUGCUGUUUCGCUGACGAGUGGCGGACGGGUGAGUAAUGUCUGGGAAACUGCCUGAUGGAGGGGGAUAACUACUGGAAACGGUAGCUAAUACCGCAUAACGUCGCAAGACCAAAGAGGGGGACCUUCGGGCCUCUUGCCAUCGGAUGUGCCCAGAUGGGAUUAGCUUGUUGGUGGGGUAACGGCUCACCAAGGCGACGAUCCCUAGCUGGUCUGAGAGGAUGACCAGCCACACUGGAACUGAGACACGGUCCAGACUCCUACGGGAGGCAGCAGUGGGGAAUAUUGCACAAUGGGCGCAAGCCUGAUGCAGCCAUGCCGCGUGUAUGAAGAAGGCCUUCGGGUUGUAAAGUACUUUCAGCGGGGAGGAAGGGAGUAAAGUUAAUACCUUUGCUCAUUGACGUUACCCGCAGAAGAAGCACCGGCUAACUCCGUGCCAGCAGCCGCGGUAAUACGGAGGGUGCAAGCGUUAAUCGGAAUUACUGGGCGUAAAGCGCACGCAGGCGGUUUGUUAAGUCAGAUGUGAAAUCCCCGGGCUCAACCUGGGAACUGCAUCUGAUACUGGCAAGCUUGAGUCUCGUAGAGGGGGGUAGAAUUCCAGGUGUAGCGGUGAAAUGCGUAGAGAUCUGGAGGAAUACCGGUGGCGAAGGCGGCCCCCUGGACGAAGACUGACGCUCAGGUGCGAAAGCGUGGGGAGCAAACAGGAUUAGAUACCCUGGUAGUCCACGCCGUAAACGAUGUCGACUUGGAGGUUGUGCCCUUGAGGCGUGGCUUCCGGAGCUAACGCGUUAAGUCGACCGCCUGGGGAGUACGGCCGCAAGGUUAAAACUCAAAUGAAUUGACGGGGGCCCGCACAAGCGGUGGAGCAUGUGGUUUAAUUCGAUGCAACGCGAAGAACCUUACCUGGUCUUGACAUCCACAGAACUUUCCAGAGAUGGAUUGGUGCCUUCGGGAACUGUGAGACAGGUGCUGCAUGGCUGUCGUCAGCUCGUGUUGUGAAAUGUUGGGUUAAGUCCCGCAACGAGCGCAACCCUUAUCCUUUGUUGCCAGCGGUCCGGCCGGGAACUCAAAGGAGACUGCCAGUGAUAAACUGGAGGAAGGUGGGGAUGACGUCAAGUCAUCAUGGCCCUUACGACCAGGGCUACACACGUGCUACAAUGGCGCAUACAAAGAGAAGCGACCUCGCGAGAGCAAGCGGACCUCAUAAAGUGCGUCGUAGUCCGGAUUGGAGUCUGCAACUCGACUCCAUGAAGUCGGAAUCGCUAGUAAUCGUGGAUCAGAAUGCCACGGUGAAUACGUUCCCGGGCCUUGUACACACCGCCCGUCACACCAUGGGAGUGGGUUGCAAAAGAAGUAGGUAGCUUAACCUUCGGGAGGGCGCUUACCACUUUGUGAUUCAUGACUGGGGUGAAGUCGUAACAAGGUAACCGUAGGGGAACCUGCGGUUGGAUCACCU
rnacentral:rRNA from 2 species